AUAUAUAUAUAUAUAUAUAUAUAUAUAUAUAUAUAUAUAUAUAUAUAUAUAGAGAGAGAGAGAGAGAGAGAGAAAUUAUAUAUAUAUAAUUUAUUUGUAUUUUUUUUUUACCAAUAUUUACCAAAUAUUAUGUACCAAAAAUUGUAAAGACAUGUUUGGUGGUAUUUUCUGUAAUUAUUAUUUGCACAGUCACAGUUAUUUGUUAUUUACCUUGGGAUCAAUACAGUGAAAACUCACACACACAAAUAUAUACUGUAUAUAUAUAUAACAGUUUUAGGUCUUUGGUGUUUUGGGUUAAAUCGCGUUACUAAGCAACAGUUCGGUUUAGAAGGUUUAGAUUUGAAUAUUGAAGCUCACUUUGGAUUGAGAAGGCUGAACACGAGCGACUUUGACCUGCGGAUUAUCCUCAACUCACUUCACCAAUUCUCACUCAUUCUAACACUUUUCUCAAUAAUUCUCACUAAUUUCUCACUAAUUCUCACUAUUUUCUCAAUAUUUCUCAUUAAUUUCUCCCUAAUUUCUCAUUAAUUUCUCUCGGUUCUGUCAGUGCUUUUCUCACUAUGCCUUUUCCAGUCUAUUUUUCAGAUGGCGCUGGAGCUGCUGGACUUCCUGGACUGGCUGGAUCAUCUCCUCCCCCGUUUCCCCAGACCAAACCUUCGUGCUCUUCUUCAAGUACCCGGAUUUCCUCCAGUGGAGACCUUGGUGUUCCUCUGUCCAUCCUUUCCUCUCCUUCGGCCGGAUGGAUUUGCUCAGUUACUUUACCUCCCAGAUGUCGGUCUGUUCUACCCCACUUUCUUCCCCCUGGUGUGGGAGGACAGAGCCGAGUACUGGGAGUGGCGUCUGAGCAGCCUCGUUGCCCACCUGUGCUACAUGGAUCUGCUGUGGAGAGACUUCCUGAAGACCAGGGUCCCCCCGACUGCCUGCAGACAGCUGGAGCCUCGACCAGACAGGGACCACAAGCCAGGGGGCCACAGCAUCGCUCUCCCUGAGGACGACUGCGCACCACCUCGCAAGAGACGCCGCAUCUGAUCCCCCUGUAUCCUUUAUUUAUUAAUCUGUAUAUGUAUAUCUAUCUAUUAAUGAUAAAUUGAAUUUAUAUUUGUAUAGUCAUAAAUUAACUAGCUAUAUUUUUAUAGAGUAGAUAAGUUUACUUUAUCAUUUUAUAAAGUUUCAUAAGUUUCCCUAAUAUUUUUAGAGUUCAUAAUUUAAUUAUAUAUUUUUUAGAGAUUAUAAGUUUACCUUAUAAUUUUUAUAGUGUUCAUAAGUUUCCUUUUUCCUUUUUAUUGAGUUAAUAAGUUUCCUUACCAUUAGACUUUAAUUAACCAUUUAUUUGCUUAGUUACCUAUCUGCCUAAUUAACAAUGUAUUUGUUUAAUCACCUACUUAUUUGUUCAAUUAACAAUUUAUUCGUUUAAUUAACUUUCAUGUGCUUUAUUAGCUUACUUAAGACCAGUUACAGACCAAUUUAAAAGUCCAGGUUUUUUUGCAUCGCUUAAUCCUGUUUCUAAUUACUUUAUGUUGUAAAAACUUAAACUUGCAUUCUUUGUAUAAAAUGUGCUUUAUUAAAAUAAUAAUAAUAAUAAUAAUUAAUUAACAGUAAUAUUAUUGUUAUUACUCUAGUCACAUAUUCAAAUAAUAUUUAGUUAUUUAAAUUGUUAACUACAAUUUUAAAUAUUUUACAACAUUUACAGCAGUUUUUUAACUGUUAUUUUAAUUUAAAUUUACUUUAUUAGAUUUAAAGCUUUAAAAAUAUUAGCUUUUAAAACAUAAUAGCAUUACACAGUUUCAUAAUUAGUUUUGGAGUCUCAAAAUUGUAAAUGUUUAAAUAAUCAGUAUUAAGCAUUUAAGAAUGUUUUUAUGAAUCUUUAAAUUGUCAUUGUUAGUGUAUAGUUUUUUUGCCAGAUUGUUAAUAGUAUUAUUGUUAUUAGUCUAGUCACAUAUUCAAAUAAUAUUUAGUUAUUUCAAUUGUUACUGACAAUUUUAGAUAUUUCCCA
rnacentral:lncRNA from 1 species